AUUGAACGCUGGCGGCAGGCCUAACACAUGCACGUCGAACGAGUGGCGGACGGGUGAGUAAUGUCUGGGAAACUGCCUGAUGGAGGGGGAUUACUAAUGGAAAAGGUAGCUAAUACCGCAUACCCUCAGAUGUGCCCAGAUGGGAUUAGCUUGUUGGUGGGGUAACGGCUCACCAAGGCGAUGAUCCCUAGCUGGUCUGAGCGGAUGACCGGCCAGACUGGAACUGAGACAAGGUCCAGAGUCGUACGGGAGGCAGCAGUGGGGAAUAGUGCACAAUGGGCGCAAGCCUGAUGCAGCCAUGCCGCGUGUAUGAAGAAGGCCUUCGGGUUGUAAAGUACUUUCAGCGGGGAGGCGUUACCCGCAGGAGAAGCACAGGCUAACUCCGUACCAGCAGCCGCGGUAAUUC
rnacentral:rRNA from 1 species